AUGGGACCAUCUAGUUGCAGGAAAACAAGCUGAGUGAGGAUUCCCACUGAUUCUAUACUAUGUUCAAACGUGACUGGUAUCCUUCUAAGAAGAGGAAGAGACACCAGAGCUCACUCUCUUUCCACGCACACAAUGGCCAUGUGAGCACACUGUGAGAAGAUGCCAUCCGCAAGCCAAGAAGAGAGGCCUUGGGAGAAACCAAACCUGCUGUCACCUUGAUCUUGGACUUCCAGCCUCAAGAACUGUGAGAAAAUAAAUUUCUGCUGUUUAUUCCACCCAAUUUGUGGCAUUUUGUUAUGGCAGCCCAAGCCAACUAAGAUACCAUCCAUGUAAUUUCUUCUUGUAUGGCAAGGUCUUAACAUGAGACAUGAAUGAAUCAAUGGCCAUUUCUAUGCAGAAAUUUAAAAGCAUUCUUGAGUUCUCAUGGGGAGAUUUAAAUUCUCCAUAUAUGAACCCCUCUAGCCUGUACUUUCUUAUAGGAAAAUUCUCUGUGAGAUUGGAAUAUUCCAGAAGUUAACCAAAAGGAUCUUAAUUUACACUCUAUCUCCUAUUCCUCACAUUCCUAGUACUGUUAAUUACUCUCCUUCCUCAACCUCUGCUCCAUCCCUUUGGCAAGCCCAUGCAUUUAGUAGAUGUUUAUUGAGUGCUUCUCUAGGCCAGCUUAGGCUUUAGGCACUGGAGGUACGGGAAUGAAGAAAACAGAUAAGGCACGUGCUCUCACGUGGCUUCCAUCCUAGCAGAGGAAAACAGAAAUAAAAAUAAAUAAAUAAAUAAAUAAGGACUAUGUCAGAUAGUGAAAAGCUAUUCAGGAAUUUUAAAUACAGCAAUGCAAGAAUGACUGAGAGCCUGCUUUGGUUAGGCAGACAGGAACUCUGUCCUUUCCAACUAAAAACCAUUCUACUCCCUCUUCUCUUCUUUCCAUCAGCAUAACUACCCCUUGAGUGCAAGCUCCUGGGCUGGGCUCCUGCAAAAGCAUUCUAAUUGACCUCUCUGCCACCUCCUUUGCACCACUGCAGUUCAUUUUCCACAUAGCAGCUAGGGAAAUAUGUAAAAAACAAAGCUGGUUUUCAUUAUUCACAAUAGCUGUGUUCUAUAAAGUUGCUUCAAACCCUGAAUUCUGGAAUACUGAAGCAUUGCUC
rnacentral:lncRNA from 1 species